rnacentral:rRNA from 1 species
CAGUCGUACCGACGGAAAAUCAGCUCUUUAGUGCGGACUUGUGGGCUUACGUGAGUUUUAACACCUCGCUGUUUGCAACGUUCGUGCUUUUUGGGUGUACUUUUUCGUAUGGUAGGCCAAUGUCAGUUUCGAUCGCUAUAAAAUGACCGGCGGAAUGUAGCUUCGAUCUCGUAUUGAAGUGUUAUAGCCUCUGGUAGAUGUGGUGAUCGGGACUGAGGAUUGCAACGAAUACCUUUUUGGGCUAUCCGUCUGAUCUCUGAAGGUUGCUUAGGUGCCGAAAGCGUGCUUACGGUUAUUUAAGUUGACAGUCAAAAGGUUAGAACGUGAUUAUA